rnacentral:rRNA from 1 species
CCCUUAGAUGUUCUGGGCCGCACGCGCGCUACACUGAUGCAUUCAACAAGCCUAGCCUUGACCGAGAGGUCCGGGUAAUCUUUGAAACUGCAUCGUGAUGGGGCUAGAUUAUUGCAAUUAUUAAUCUUCAACGAGGAAUGCCUAGUAAGCGUGAUUCAUCAAAUCGCGUUGAUUACGUCCCUGCCCUUUGUACACACCGCCCGUCGCUCCUACCGAUUGAGUGUGUUGGUGAGGAGUUUGGAUUGGCCUCGGAAGGUGGUUCGCCACCGUCCGUAGCUGAGAAGUUCUCCAAACCGCCCCACUUAGAGGAAGGAGAAGUCGUAACA